UUACGUCUCUUAACCUUGUCUGUUCUUGUACCUGAGAGUCGCCACAACAGAUCAGUUGUUGCAUAGGAACGGCUGCUGACAUCCAACCCAUUUUCUUCACCCUAGUUACACGAUCACUAUCGCCCCAGAAGGGACUUAUCUGGUUCACUUGCUGGCGUAGCCGCUUAAAGAUUGAAGUCAUUAAUGCGUUGUGCCUCUGUCCUCUGCUACGCAUUUGGGGGAAAGGCCCAUCCUUGCUGUGCCAGUCUGGAGUAAAACUGUGCAGAAGAUACAGGCAUGCGGGAAUGAAAAGCCCCUGUGGGAAUGAAAAGCCACUGUAUUCUUAGAAAUGGAUGGUCUCUGGAAGUGGUAUGGCCCCUGUAAUGAAGCAGGACAGACCCAGAAGUGAGCUUCACGGGGGCGUGAAGGCCGCUGGAGGCCCUGCAGCUGCCUUUGGUGCCUUCAGACAGGACCACAGCCAGGCAGGUAGUGGGGACACUUAUGGAGAGGUCUUGCACCCCCUUCCCUGCUCUGGCAUUGGCACCAGCUCAUCCCCAUGGAGUGAGACUUCACCUCCUGCCCCCCCAUGCUUGGCCUUGCC
rnacentral:lncRNA from 1 species